UGCAAAAAACCUGUGCAAAAAACUUACAAAGUACAAAAAUCGAUGAAAUUAUGUUUAAGUAUGCGUUAUUAAUACCACUGCUUUGCAUGUUCAAAUAGAUCUGAACAUCAUUCGGAGAGACAAAGUUCUAAAUUUAAGGAAGGCAGUGUACCAGCUGGUUUCCCGUAUUUAGAUCAAUCCGUUGCCAGAAGAAAAAACCCAAUGAAAAAAUGAUUUGUCUCUCGAUGUACGCCUUGAUCGCUUCGGCCACAGUUCUGGCGUGUUUCCCCGUUUGCUACAAACAGAUUGAGUUAAAAAAAUUGUUCAAGUGUCUCAAGAAAAAGUAAUUUAUAAAUAUGGCCAUAUGUAUCACGUUCCUCACAGCUUUCCUUGCAGCCAGUAUUAUAUCGUGUUGUCCAAUAAUGUUAGAGAAAUAUUUAAAACGUGAACAGAAUCACAAGGGUACUACGCCUUCAAGAGUGUCCUGCAAAAGUCCGUGCUGCCCGAAAAAAUCUAAAUCAAGAUGAGUGAUCGUCCAUUAUUACGAAUAUAAUAAAUUGCUCUCCAAUA